GAAAGGUGGGUGGGGUUAACACUAUUUACAUGAGAAAGACCCCUGUUUCCCCCUCUGAUACAUCUUAUCAGCCCAAUGUAUUCGGUUCCAAAAUGUACUUGCAGGCGUUUAAGCCCUCACAUACUGUACAAGCCAAGGCUAGUGUAUCUUCUGUACAGGUCUCAAUUAUGUUUGAGAUGAUGCAGAAGAAGAGAAACGAGCCAGAACACAAGGGGCUCUUUCUAUUCCUCUUCCACACAGGGAGCGAGGGAGUGUUUUCUCAACCCCUUUCUCCCUGCAUGUCUGACACCCCAGGAGCACAAACCUGGGACAUGUAUUUCUCCUUUCUGUUGCGAUUCUGGAGAACAUGAAACAGUGACUUAACACUUGUCGUUCCUAACUUUCUUUUUACCUGUCUUUUCAAAACAUUCCAUAUCAUCUGGUUAAAAAAGCAAAUGAUAUGACUGCUGAGGGGAAAUGUUAAUGGUGAUUUUUUUUUCUUUUUUUUUUUUCUUCUAUUAAACCUCAGGUCAAUCUGUAGCAUGUGUUGAUGCUGCAUUCCUCAGAAAUGCAAGAGCUGAUGUUUGAGGCUGUUUGGUGAAGGUUAAAAGCUGAAUUGGAAUUGUCAUGUCAUUAGCUCCAUAAAGGGAAGUAGUUCUCUUAGAUUAUAACUUUGUGUAACCCAUAUCAGGCUGAAUAAAUAAAUGAAGUGUUUAUCUAAAAUUGUA